UGCGGUGAAAAGCAACACCGGUUAAACGCUCCUUUUCAUUUGAACGGCUGAAGGAGCAAAAACACAAACAGAUGGGGAGCAGACUAGGAAGAAGAGUAGUUCACUUCGCAAACCUCCCGAUCAAGCUCCUAAUGCCUACAAGCUUCAACUACAUCAAAGAAAUUGCCUUGAAAACUAUACCUUCCGCUUCCAAGAUCGAAAUCAAGCGCGUCCUCGAGUCCCUUUACGGGUUUGAAGUCGACAAGGUCCGUACUCUCAACAUGGAAGGCAAGAAGAAGAAAAUACGCGGAUUACUAAUCGCCAAACCUGACUACAAAAAGGCCUAUGUGACUUUGAGAAACCCGCUUUCGAUAUCUCCGGAUCUGUUUCCAUUGAGGGUUAUUGAGGAGGAGAAGGAGAGAAAGAACAAGCAGAGGAGGUCUAGUAUUAUGGAAGAUGGCGAAGGGAAAAAGCAUUGGCUUGACGGGAAGAAGGAAGAAAGGCUUGGGUAUGAGAAGGGAACUGGGAGAGGUCGUGGUGGUGUUCGUGACUCCACGGUGGAGAAGGCCAAGUUUCCAUGGAGCAGCAUGAGGAGUCCUAGAUAAAUAGCAUGCAUGCACGCAUCAAGUGAUAAUUUCUCACAGUUCAUAACUUUGCAUAUCUUUUUCCGGUCGAGCUCAGAGAGUGAAGGAUGAGUCUGGAAAGGAUAUCAAAGUUUUAGACUUGUUUUAUAAUUGGGAAUCAAAAGAUCAUUCACACUGGCAUUCUCCAGUGUCAGCCCCACUCUCUUUUCUAGCUCUGCAAUUAAAGCUGAUGAUGCUGAAUACACGAUGGCCAUCUUUAACAUCUUCGACAAGAA